UUGCAAAUAUUCUCGCUGUUCUGAUUUUGUGAUAAUCAGGACAGGCUAGACAUUCACUAUAGUAAGACCAUGCAUGUGUCCCCCAGACCUAGUUCUUUACCUGGGUCUGGUUUACUAAAUGCUGGUGGUGACA
ensembl:snoRNA SNORA72 Small nucleolar RNA SNORA72